rnacentral:rRNA from 1 species
AUGCAGAAUUCAGUGAAUCAUCGAAUCUUUGAACGCACCUUGCGCUCCUUGGUAUUCCGAGGAGCAUGCCUGUUUGAGUGUCAUUA